rnacentral:rRNA from 1 species
AUUGAACGCUGGCGGCAGGCUUAACACAUGCAAGUCGAGCGAGCGGCGGACGGGUGAGUAAUGCCUGGGAAACUGCCUGCUGGAGGGGGAUAAACACUGGAAACGGUAUCUAAAACCGCAUACCAUCAGAUUCGCCCAGAUGGGAUUAGCUAGUGGGUGGGGUAAUGGCUCACCUAGGCGACGACCCCUAGCCGGUCCGACGGGAUGACGGGCAACAAGGGACCUGCGACACGGUCCGAACUCCGAGGGGAGGCAGAGGUGGGGAAUAUUGGACAAUGGGCGCAAUCCUGAUGCAGCCAUGCCGCGUAUAUAAAGAGGGCCUUGGGGUUGUAAAGUACUUUCAUCGGGGAGGCGUUACCGGCAUAGGAAGCACCGGCUAACUCCGUGCCAGCAGCCGCGGUAAUAC